GACGAACGCUGGCGGCGUGCUUAACACAUGCAAGUCGAACGGUGAAGCUCCAGCUUGCUGGAGUGGAUCAGUGGCGAACGGGUGAGUAACACGUGAGCAACCUGCCCCUGACUCUGGAAUAAGCGCUGGAAACGGCGUCUAAUACUGGAUACGAGAAGGGUCCGCAUGGGCACUUUCUGGAAAGUUUUUCGGUUGGGGAUGGGCUCGCGGCCUAUCAGCUUGUUGGUGAGGUAAUGGCUCACCAAGGCGACGACGGGUAGCCGGCCUGAGAGGGCGACCGGCCACACUGGGACGGAGACACGGCCCAGACUCCUACGGGAGGCAGCAGUGGGGAAUAUUGCACAAUGGGCGAAAGCCUGAUGCAGCGACGCCGCGUGAGGGAUGACGGCCUUCGGGUUGUAAACCUCUUUCAGCAGGGAAGAAGCGAAAGUGACGGUACCUGCAGAAGAAGCACCGGCUAACUACGUG
rnacentral:rRNA from 1 species